rnacentral:rRNA from 1 species
GACUGCAGGCUGCAACUCGCCUGCACGAAGUCGGAACUGCUAGUAAUCGUAGGUCAGCAUACUACGGUGAAUACCGUUCCCGGGCCUUGUACACACCGCCCGUCAAACCAUGAGAGUUGGCAACACCCGAAGUCGGUAGUCUAACCGCAAGGAGGACGCCGCCGAAGGUGGGGUUGAUGAUUAGGGUUAAGUCGUAACAAGGUAAC